rnacentral:rRNA from 1 species
AUACGUAGGGAGCGAGCGUUGUCCGGAUUUACUGGGUGUAAAGGGUGCGUAGGCGGCUUUGCAAGUCAGGUGUGAAACCCGUCGGCUUAACUGACGGACUGCAUUUGAAACUGUGGGGCUUGAGUGGAGUAGAGGCAGACGGAAUUCCCGGUGUAGCGGUGAAAUGCGUAGAGAUCGGGAAGAACACCAGUGGCGAAGGCGGUCUGCUGGGCUCUAACUGACGCUGAGGCACGAAAGCAUGGGUAGCAAACAGGAUUAGAUACCCUGGUAGUCCAUGCCGUAAACGAUGAUUACUAGGUGUGGGGGGUCUGACCCUCUCCGUGCCGGAGUUAACACAAUAAGUAAUCCACCUGGGAAGUACGACCGCAAGGUUGAA